CUGUGUGGCUGCACCCUGGUGUGGGGGACUUGCUGCCUCUCCACCUGGGGGAGGAGAGAGGCCAGGCAGCUCUCAGCUCCAAUCGGUGCUCCCUUCUUCACCUGCAGUGGUGAGGUCACAGGUGGGAGUCCAUCAAAAUCAAGUGUCCCUGUGUUCCUGGCAUGGCUGUUGCACAUUCCUUAUAUUUUGAAAGAAACUAGCUCACACAAGGAAGCAAAAAUCACCUUUCUCUGCCUCUCUUUCAUCCUCUCACUCAGUGCCACGCUGGUUUUCUUAUCUGGGUUCAGCUGUCCAAGCCCAGGCCAACACAAUCUGCCGCCGUCCCAUAACCGACAGAGCAGAGAAGCUGCUGUAGGAUGACGGCAGAACGCGCGGGAAUCACAGAUCGGAAAGAAAAACCUCCCGGAGGAAGCAGCAGCUGGGAGGCGAUGAGCCCUUCACAAGGCGACAGGACCACCUAGAUCUCGUAAGUCGAUUGAUGUUUUCUACACAAGAAAAUAAACUCGCUUUGAAACCCCCACACUGGGAUCUUCAGACCAGAAGAGCUGUGCCCAUUUACCUUGUCCAUUCCAGAAAACCAGAAGGCCUCACAGCUGCCAUGUUGCCUUAGUUUAAGAAAUGUUUCUCCUUGCACUUACCCUCUGGAAGAACACAACCCAGAGGAAAGCUUGUCCCCUCCGUGUCACUAAGGUCUGAACAGGCAGUAGCUGAGAAGAGCACCCUAACUCUAAACCCUGAGAGGAUGGAGGCUGGCAACCUGUCCAGAAGCUUAUCUCCUAGAGGAAAUAUAGAAAAUAAAACAAUAAUUUAAUAUCAUUCCCAAGACAGAAUUUUAUAAAGAUGAUGAAGAGAGAGAUAGGGAGGGCACUGAUUCCUCCAGAGAGGUCCAGGAACAGCUCUCUACUGCAGUAACAUUGAAGUAAUGGCCUCAGUGAUGAAAAAGAGUCGGCUGUGUCCAGUCUGGAGCAAGAGCAGAGGGAAGACGAGAGGCCUGCCACUAGGGCAGGGGCCUCCAUGCACAGCAGGAAGACAGCUCCUCAGCACAACCAAAUAGAUUUUUCUUUUCCUCAGUCCUCCAGGCUGGACAUCAUAGUCGUAAAGCAGUCUUGGGUCUCUGAAGAUCCCCUCUGUUCCCAGAAGCCCUUGCUAGAGCCUCGUGUUGGGCUCUCUGUGUCUCUAAGGCUUAGGCUCAGACUGUCACUAGAUCUGUCAGUUGGGGAGGGCAUUACCUGACAGCAUUUCCUGCUGGGCAUUGGGUCAAUCUGCAGCUCAGUGGGUCCCUAGCGAAAAAUCUGUCUUGGGACACAGGUAUGGCCUUGGAAAGGGUCCUCAUGGGUUCUAUUUUAUCAUGUAGUACGCCACCCGGAAGAAUUUGUUCUGUUUGUUAUUUAAAAGUGGGCUUACCACAGCAAUGGGCCCAGGCGGCGGCGCAGGGUGACGACCACCUGUAACUGCCUGCGGGGGGUUUUCUCGGAACCCUGGUAGGUGCCAGAGACAGGUUCCCUUGCUCUCGGAUGUCAUGUAAUCUCUCCGUGCCGCAGGUCCACGCAUUUCCACCUGGAUCUCACGUCUCCAGGUGUCACGCUUUCUCCUUUCUUAUUUCCCAGGCUCAACCUUCUCAUAAACCUCAAUCUCCAGGAACCGAGAGCCCUUCCUGCCACCACUGAAACCGGCUCCCCUGGGUUCGGAGAACCGGGAACGGGUGUCCGCGCUGAUCCUCUGGAACUGAGGGCGCUCAGCGCCCAAGACAAAAAUGCCCCUCCCGGCGCGGCUGGGAGCGCCUUCUCUCUCCCCGGGAUCCCAGUCCUACACCUGCAGCGUCCCCUAGGCUCCUCCCCGCCUUCCUCCACCUCCUACAGCCCAUCACUUUUGGUGGGAGCGAAGUCACUGCCUCCCCCGUCCCGUGUGCGCUCACGGAAAAAAAAAAAAAAAAAA